rnacentral:rRNA from 1 species
UACGGGGGGGGCAAGCGUUGUUCGGAAUUACUGGGCGUAAAGGGCUCGUAGGCGGCCAACUAAGUCGAACGUGAAAUCCCCGGGCUCAACCCGGGAACUGCGUCCGAGACUGGAAGGCUUGAAUCCGGGAGAGGGAUGUGGAAUUCCAGGUGUAGCGGUGAAAUGCGUAGAUAUCUGGAGGAACAUCGGUGGCGAAGGCGGCAUCCUGGACCGGUAUUGACGCUGAGGCGCGAAAGCCAGGGGAGCAAACGGG